rnacentral:rRNA from 1 species
GCCGGGGGGGCGUCUAUACAUGCAAGUCGAGCGGACAGGAUGGGAGCUUGCUCCCGUGAUAGUUAGCGGCGGACGGGUGAGUAACACGUGGGUAACCUGCCUGUAAGACUGGGAUAACUCCGGGAAACCGGAGCUAAUACCGGAUAGUUCCUUGCCUCGCAUGGGUCAAGGAUGAAAGACGGUUUCGGCUGUCACUUACAGAUGGACCCGCGGCGCAUUAGCUAGUUGGUGAGGUAACGGCUCACCAAGGCCACGAUGCGUAGCCGACCUGAGAGGGUGAUCGGCCACACUGGGACUGAGACACGGCCCAGACUCCUACGGGAGGCAGCAGUAGGGAAUCUUCCGCAAUGGACGAAAGUCUGACGGAGCAACGCCGCGUGAGUGAUGAAGGUUUUCGGAUCGUAAAACUCUGUUGUUAGGGAAGAACAAGUGCCGGAGUAACUGCUUGCACCUUGACGGUACCUGACCAGAAAGCCACGGCUAACUACGUGCCAGCAGCCGCGGUAAU